rnacentral:ncRNA from 1 species
GUAAAGAUGAUGAUGGAAAGAAGUAGUUACAGAAAUUAUAUAGAGAGCCAGUGUGUGGUGGAAACUGGAUAAGGACUGUAAUGAAAAGUUCAUUCCUGAAUUGUAAGCUGAAAAAUAAAUUUUAUUUAUUAAGCUGAGCCGGUUUUCCUUACGUUAUUAAGGAGUAAGAGGAUUUAUUUUAUAUAAGUCAAAUUGGGUGGUAACGCGAAUAUUCGUCCCUUUC